rnacentral:rRNA from 1 species
AGUGAACGCUGGCGGCGUGCCUAAUACAUGCAAGUCGAACGGUGUGGCGCACGGGGGAGUAAUAUAUAGCUACUAUGCCCCUUGCUGGAGGACACCAGUUAGGAAUGACUGCUAAUACUCCAUAGCAAGGGAUGAGACUAUAUCGUAUCAGCUAGUCGGUGGGGUAACCGCCUACCGAGGCUAGGACGCGUAACUGGUCUGAGAGGAUGAUCAGUCACAUUGGAACGGAGAAACGGUCCGAACUCCUACGGGAGGGAGCAAUAGGGAAUAUUGCGAAAUGGGGGGAAGCCUGACGCAUCAACGGCGCGUGGAGUAUGACACUUUUCGGAGAGUAAACUCCUUUUGUUAGGGAGGCGGUACCUAACUAAUAAGCACCGGCUAACUCCGUGCCAGCAGCCGCGGUAAUUC